rnacentral:rRNA from 1 species
CCUACGGGUGGCUGCAGUGAGGAAUAUUGGUCAAUGGACGCGAGUCUGAACCAGCCAAGUAGCGUGAAGGAUGACUGCCCUCUGGGUUGUAAACUUCUUUUAUCUGGGAAUAAAAUGUUACACGUGUGGGCUUUUGUAUGUACCAUAUGAAUAAGGAUCGGCUAACUCCGUGCCAGCAGCCGCGGUAAUACGGAGGAUCGGAUCGUUAUCCGGAUUUAUUGGGCUUAAAGGGAGCGUAGGUGGUUGGUUAAGUCAGUUGUGAAAGUUUGCGGCUCAACCGUAAAAUUGCAGUUGAAACUGGCAGUCUUGAGUACAGUAGAGGUGGGCAGAAUUCGUGGUGUAGCGGUGAAAUGCGUAGAUAUCACGAAGAACUCCGAUUGCGAAGGCAGUUCACUGGACUGCAACUGACACUGAGGCGCGAAAGUGUGGGUAUCAAACAGGAUUAGAUACCCUGGUAGUC